AUGGCUCCCGCCUCCCGCCCGCCGACGGCGACGCCGCUGGCCGCAUCCUCAUCCCGGAUAGACUCGCCAUCGCUGAAGGCAGCCCUCGCAAUGGCUCUCAUCCACUACAAACGCCUCCCCUCCACAACCGCCGCCGCCGCCGCCGCCGCAGGCACCUCCUCCCCGCCUCUUAUCCACUGGAAGCGCAAGGCUAAGGAGCGGAAGCGCGAGAUUCUCCGCCUCCGCGAAGAGCUCAAGCUCCUCCAAGAUGGGGUGCGCGGGGAGGCGAUGGAGCCGCCACUUGCGUCAUGCCGCUGCCACUUCUUCGACGGGUGCAGCGACCUGCAGCCGCCGCCUCCAACGGGUGGAGGAGAGCAUUGGGUCGACGAGGUGCUGCGGAGGAGGUUCCUCAGAUUGGCGCGGUGGAAGGAGAAGCGACGGAGACUGGAUCGAUCUCUUCCCGUCACUAGUUUGAUGGAGUUCAAUAGCGAGGAUGAGAUACAACAGCUUAGCUUGUCAACUGAUUUCCUGGUAGAGCUAUCAGAUGGGAUUUUUGCGAAAAGAGAAUCUUGCUCCACAUUUGCUACAUUCUCUCACCAAGCAGUAGACUUCAUUUUGUCUUUACUGAAGAACAUUCUAUCGUCGAAAAGGGAAAAUGAACUGGUUGAGGAGAUAAUUGAUGGUUUAGUGACACGUUUGAUGAAAAGGAUGUGCACCAUUCCUGAAAAUGCUGGUACUUCGGAUUCAGGGCCAGUUGACUGCUCAGAUGCCCAAUUCAAUGUGCAGCACUUGUUCCGCAAGUUAGGAAAUGAAGAGUUCAUUGGUCAGCGGAUAAUCCUUGCAGUUUCUCAAAAGAUCUCAAAUGUAUCAGAAAGCUUGCUUCUCUUAGAUCCAUUUGAUGAUUCCUUCCCUGAUAUGCAUGGCAAUAUGUUCAUUAUGAUUCAAUUAAUUGAGUUCCUCAUAUCUGAUUACAUGAAAAUUUGGCUAUGUUGCGAGCAAUUUGACAAAAAAAUAUUUGAAGAAUGGGUCAGAUCUAUUCUGAAGGCACGCAAAGACCUGGAAGUCCUAGAAAACAUAAAUGGGCUGUAUGUAGUGUACAUUGAGCGAGUGGUCGGAAGGUUGGCGAGGGAGGUGGCUCCUGCUGCUCACCAGGGGAAGCUGGACCUGGAUGUCUUUUCCAAACUCCUGUGCUGA
rnacentral:rRNA from 1 species